rnacentral:lncRNA from 1 species
GCCUAUAUUGAGAUAUCAAAAGUUUAGAAUACUUAUGAAACAAGGUUUUAGCAGCCCCUCUACAAUUCCAUAUGAGGAUCUUCAUCAUUUUAAAGGUGAAGACAGUUGAUCUUUAUCCUCACUUCGAGAACCCAUAGAAAAAGAAGACUCAGCCUUGGCAUCCCCAGCAGACAUAGGACAUUGUGAAUUUAAAGCCUACGACACCUGAUGGACCAGUUCAUCAUGUUCAACUGGACUUGGAUUUAUUUUUAUCUGAUCAGCAUCCAGUCGACUAGGUAUGAA